GUAAGGGAUAUUGCACAAUGGGCGCAAGCCUGAUGCAGCAACGCCGCGUGCCUGAGGAAGGCCUUCGGGUCGUAAAGGGCUUUUCUGGCUGAAGAGCAAGGACAGUAGGCCAGGAAGAAGUGUCGGCUAACUACGUGCCAGCAGCCGCGGUAAAACGUAGGACGCGAGCGUUAUCCGGAGUUACUGGGCGUAAAGGGCGGGCAGGCGGACGGACAAGUUGGCGGUGAAAGCGCCCGGCUCAACCAGGCGAGGCCCGUCGAAACUGUCCGACUGGAGGGCAAGGGAGGCGCGUGGAAUUCCCGGUGGAGUGGUGAAAUGCGUAGAGAUCGGGAGGAACACCAGAGGCGAAGGCGGCGCGCUGACUUGCACCUGACGCUGAACCGCGAAAGCCAGGGGAGCGAACGGGAUUAGAAACCCCGGUAGUCC
rnacentral:rRNA from 1 species